rnacentral:rRNA from 1 species
AUUGAACGCUGGCGGCAGGCUUAACACAUGCAAGUCGAGCGGGGGAAGGUAGCUUGCUACCGGACCUAGCGGCGGACGGGUGAGUAAUGCUUAGGAAUCUGCCUAUUAGUGGGGGACAACAUCUCGAAAGGGAUGCUAAUACCGCAUACGUCCUACGGGAGAAAGCAGGGGAUCUUCGGACCUUGCGCUAAUAGAUGAGCCUAAGGCGGAUUAGCUAGUUGGUGGGGUAAAGGCCUACCAAGGCGACGAUCUGUAGCGGGUCUGAGAGGAUGAUCCGCCACAGUGGGACUGAGACCCGGCCCAGACUCCUACGGGAGGCAGCAGUGGGGAAUAUUGGACAAUGGGGGGAACCCUGAUCCAGCCAUGCCGCGUGUGUGAAGAAGGCCUUAUGGUUGUAAAGCACUUUAAGCGAGGAGGAGGCUACUCUAGUUAAUACCUAGGGAUAGUGGACGUUACUCGCAGAAUAAGCACCGGCUAACUCUGUGCCAGCAGCCGCCGUAA